rnacentral:rRNA from 1 species
AUGAACGCUAGCUACAGGCUUAACACAUGCAAGUCGAGGGGCAGCAUGGUCUUAGCUUGCUAAGGCCGAUGGCGACCGGCGCACGGGUGAGUAACACGUAUCCAACCUGCCGUCUACUCUUGGACAGCCUUCUGAAAGGAAGAUUAAUACAAGAUGGCAUCAUGAGUCCGCAUGUUCACAUGAUUAAAGGUAUUCCGGUAGACGAUGGGGAUGCGUUCCAUUAGAUAGUAGGCGGGGUAACGGCCCACCUAGUCUUCGAUGGAUAGGGGUUCUGAGAGGAAGGUCCCCCACAUUGGAACUGAGACACGGUCCAAACUCCUACGGGAGGCAGCAGUGAGGAAUAUUGGUCAAUGGGCGAGAGCCUGAACCAGCCAAGUAGCGUGAAGGAUGACUGCCCUAUGGGUUGUAAACUUCUUUUAUAAAGGAAUAAAGUCGGGUAUGGAUACCCGUUUGCAUGUACUUUAUGAAUAAGGAUCGGCUAACUCCGUGCCAGCAGCCGCGGUAAUACGGAGGAUCCGAGCGUUAUCCGGAUUUAUUGGGUUUAAAGGGAGCGUAGAUGGAUGUUUAAGUCAGUUGUGAAAGUUUGCGGCUCAACCGUAAAAUUGCAGUUGAUACUGGAUAUCUUGAGUGCAGUUGAGGCAGGCGGAAUUCGUGGUGUAGCGGUGAAAUGCUUAGAUAUCACGAAGAACUCCGAUUGCGAAGGCAGCCUGCUAAGCUGCAACUGACAUUGAGGCUCGAAAGUGUGGGUAUCAAACAGGAUUAGAUACCCUGGUAGUCCACACGGUAAACGAUGAAUACUCGCUGUUUGCGAUAUACGGCAAGCGGCCAAGCGAAAGCGUUAAGUAUUCCACCUGGGGAGUACGCCGGCAACGGUGAAACUCAAAGGAAUUGACGGGGGCCCGCACAAGCAGUGGAGUAUGUGGUUUAAUUCGAAGCAACGCGAAGAACCUUACCAGGUCUUGACAUCCUACUAACGAGAUAGAGAUAUGUUAGGUGCCCUUCGGGGAAAGUAGAGACAGGUGGUGCAUGGUUGUCGUCAGCUCGUGUCGUGAGAUGUUGGGUUAAGUCCCGCAACGAGCGCAACCCUUAUGACUAGUUGCCAGCAUUUAGUUGGGCACUCUAGUAAGACUGCCGGUGACAAACCGGAGGAAGGUGGGGAUGACGUCAAAUCAGCACGGCCCUUACGUCCGGGGCUACACACGUGUUACAAUGGGGGGUACAGAGGGCCGCUACCACGCGAGUGGAUGCCAAUCCCCAAAACCUCUCUCAGUUCGGACUGGAGUCUGCAACCCGACUCCACGAAGCUGGAUUCGCUAGUAAUCGCGCAUCAGCCACGGCGCGGUGAAUACGUUCCCGGGCCUUGUACACACCGCCCGUCAAGCCAUGGGAGCCGGGGGUACCUGAAGUGCGUAACCGCGAGGAGCGCCCUAGGGUAAAACUGGUGACUGGGGCU